rnacentral:pre_miRNA from 1 species
UGCACAAUUUUCUCACUCAUGCUGGGAUCAGAAGAGAGAGAGUACAGCCCAACGGCCGAUGUUCAGUUGGAACGGGCUGUGCUCUCUCUCUUCUUGUUCCAACCUGGGUGCAUUUCCGUUCU